AUGCGAUAAGUAGUGUGAAUUGCAGAAUUCAGUGAAUCAUCGAAUCUUUGAACGCACAUUGCGCCCUUUGGUAUUCCAAAGGGCAUGCCUGUUCGAGCGUCAUUUGUACCCUCAAGCUUUGCUUGGUGUUGGGCGUCUUGUCUCUAGCUUUGCUGGAGACUCGCCUUAAAGUAAUUGGCAGCCGGCCUACUGGUUUCGGAGCGCAGCACAAGUCGCACUCUCUAUCAGCAAAGGUCUAGCAUCCAUUAAGCCUUUUUUUCAACUUUUGACCUCGGAUCAGGUAGGGAUACCCGCUGAACUUAA
rnacentral:misc_RNA from 1 species